rnacentral:rRNA from 1 species
UCCUGGCCGUAAACGAUGUGGACUUGGUAUUGGGAUGGCUACGAGCUGUCCCAGUGCCGUAGGGAAGCCGUUAAGUCCACCGCCUGGGGAGUAUGGUCGCAAGGCUGAAACUUAAAGGAAUUGGCGGGGGAGCACAGCAACGGGAGGAGCGUGCGGUUUAAUUGGAUUCAACGCCGGAAAGCUUACUAGGGGAACUGCCGUAGUGGGCCAGGCUGAAGCCUUGCUCGAAUAAU